AAGUCAUAACAAGGUUUCCGUAGGUGAACCUGCGGAAGGAUCAUUAGAGAUGCCGAAAGGCUUUUCCAAACACCUGUGCACCGGCUCUGAAGCCCGAGAGGGUCGACGGCCACUUUACACACAAACUCAUGUCAUGAACGUAACAUAUCAUAAUCAAAAACAACUUUCAACAACGGAUCUCUUGGCUCUC
rnacentral:misc_RNA from 1 species